rnacentral:rRNA from 1 species
GACGAACGCUGGCGGCGUGCUUAACACAUGCAAGUCGAACGGAAAGGCCCUGCUUUUGUGGGGUGCUCGAGUGGCGAACGGGUGAGUAACACGUGAGUAACCUGCCCUUGACUUUGGGAUAACUUCAGGAAACUGGGGCUAAUACCGGAUAGGAGCUCCUGCUGCAUGGUGGGGGUUGGAAAGUUUCGGCGGUUGGGGAUGGACUCGCGGCUUAUCAGCUUGUUGGUGGGGUAGUGGCUUACCAAGGCUUUGACGGGUAGCCGGCCUGAGAGGGUGACCGGCCACAUUGGGAAUGAGAUACGGCCCAGACUCCGACGGGAGGCAGCAGUGGGGAAUAUUGCACAAUGGGCGGAAGCCUGAUGCAGCAAAGCCGCGUGCGGGAUGACGGCCUUCGGGUUGUAAACCGCUUUCGCCUGUGACGAAGCGUGAGUGACGGUAAUGGGUAAAGAAGCACCGGCUAACUACGU